GGGCAGCCUCGAAGUGCGCACCACCCAGGAGCCAGGCGAAAAG
rnacentral:tRNA from 1 species